AGUGAACGCUGGCGGUAGGCCUAACACAUGCAAGUCGAACGGCAGCACAGUAAGAGCUUGCUCGUACGGGUGGCGAGUGGCGGACGGGUGAGGAAGUCAUCGGAAUCUACUUUUUCGUUGGGGAUAACGUAGGGAAACUUAUGCUAAUACCGCAUACGACCUACGGGUGAAAGCAGGGGAUCUUCGGACCUUGCGCGAUUGAAUGAGCGGAUGUCGGGUUGGAUAGUUGGCGGGGUAAAGGCCCACCAAGGCGGGGAUCCCUAGCUGGUCUGAGAGGAUGAUCGGCCACACUGGAACUUAGACACGGUCCAGGCGCCUACGGGAGGCAGCAGUGGGGAAUAUUGGACAAUGGGCGCAAGCCUGAUCCAGCCAUACCGCGUGGGUGAAGAAGGCCUUCGGGUUGUAAAGCCCUUUUGUUGGGAAAGAAAAGCAGCAGGUUGAUACCCCGCUGUUCUGACGGUACCCAAAGAAUAAGCACCGGCUAACUUCGUG
rnacentral:rRNA from 1 species